CCGGCUCCGGUUCACCUCGCGCACCGCGGGGACCCGGCGCC
rfam:Pseudonocardia sp. CNS-139 NODE_20_length_89169_cov_155.657_ID_887, whole genome shotgun sequence.